rnacentral:rRNA from 1 species
GUUAAGUCAGAUGUGAAAGCCCGGGGCUCAACCUCGGAAUUGCAUUUGAAACUGGCAAACUAGAGUACUGUAGAGGGGGUAGAAUUUACAGGUGUAGCGGUGAAAUAGCGUAGAGAUCUGAAGGAAUACCGGUGGCGAAGGCGGCCCCCUGGACAGAUACUGACACUCAGAUGCGAAAGCGUGGGGAGCAAACAGGAUUAGAUACCCUGGUAG